CCUCCAUGUGUGGCCUCCUUGUCCCAUCUCUCCCUUUGAGGAAGAGAGGUGGCAUCCUCACCGAGCACAGUUGUUGCUAGGCAACGUGCUAGUUCUCUUACAUGCCUCUCGCCCCCGUGGCCACCCUGCAGUGUAGACAGCACCCUAAAUUUGUAGUUGAGGGAACGGGGGCUCAGGACAGCAGAGUGACACCUCUGGGGUUACACAGUCAGUCAGUGGCACAGCCUGGACACAUUCAGGACCGAGCAGCCGUCACUGAGGUGUCCCAGGCAAGCCCUGCAAAGUCCCAGAGGAGCUAUCCAAAUGCCCCCGGGGACACUCGAGCGCUCUGUGGGACAGGCUGGGUUGAUGGGGGACGGGCUCCUGGGAACGCCUCACCUGGGGUUGACCUGGCUGACAGGAAUGUUGAGCCGGGCGGCGAUGUCCUCCACAGUCUCAUUGCCCUCUGAUAUAAUGCCCACACCUUUGGCAAUGGCCUUGGCUGUGAUCGGGUGGUCCCCAGUCACCAUGAUCACCUAGUAGGACGGAGAAAAGAGAAAAGAACAGCAGUGUUCAGACCCCCUCCCAACCCAUUCCUUUCCCAAAGUCAGAAAAGGCCGGACCACCAGACGGUGGGAUUCACAGAUCCCAGCCCAAAUGGCGCAACUGUGUGUGUGUGUGUGUGUGUGUGUGUGUGUGUGUGUGUGUACGUGUUGGGUGGGUGACAAGUUGUACUUAAGGGAUCAAAGAUACUUCACCAGGGUGGAGGAAAGCCUCCACGAAGAGUAACAAAUUAACGAGGGUCUCUUGGAAGAGGAGCCUCAGAGACCGUUUAGGAGUUAGGAUUUCACGGGAUACGAGGCUGUCCCGGCUGGAAGGACCCCUCAUCUACCGGUGAGGGACAAAGGCUUAGAAGGGGCCGUGACUCGAGGCCCCUGGGAGCCGGGAGUAGGAGACGGUUUUCUUAGUGCCCACUCCGUGGCUGCAGGCCAUCCAGCAGGGCAGAGGAGGGAUGCAGGGGGCACAGCCCCCCUUCCCAGCCCUCGUCUGCCUGUACAUCUGGCUCUGACACCCCUUCUCCACGGCGAGGAAGGGGAUUCUUGCAGAAUGGACGGCACUGCUUGGGAGGGUGGCUGGCACCCGAGAGGCCGGUGACGAGGCUCUCGGUCACGAGCGUGAGCGGAUCGGAGCCGGAUGAACAAGCAUUUGCACGUGCGGGUCUGUGGGCAGAUGUCACAGACCCCGAGGAGGAAGCCCCUUCAAGGCCCCCUGCCUUCUCUUGCACCCCCAUGAGCCCCUGCACCUGCCCCCUGAAGGUCACGUGGGCCUCCCAGUUGAAGACAACAGCAUCUUUGCGGUCCUUAUGCCGCGUGACUCCUCUGAGCAUUCGGCACUGGCCACCACCCCCUCCUUGAGACCUGCUUGUCUGCAUGGACCCCAUUAUUCCCGGUUGCCCUCCCCGCUUCUUCCGGCUCUUUCCCGCCUCCUCAGGGUGGCCGCCAAGUGCAGCGGAAGAGGUGGCUGUGGAGGCGGAUGGACACCGCCUGAGCUUGGACACCGGCCCUCCCCAGUGUCACACCUCGGACCUGUCUUUUCACCUCGUCUCGGCCCAAGGAGGGGACGAGCCCCACCCUCCAAAGUUGUCGUGAAGGACUGGUGGCCCCGGUUCCAUCCUUGUCCCCUUCCCUGACCCCGGUUCUCUUCCCGGCCAGAACGAUGCAAUGGACUAGCCGGCCUUCAGCUGCACCUGUGUGCUGAUCCAGACCCUCCGCACGGGUAGCCUCCUGAAAGCUGGAUCAGCCGGGACGCCUGUGCUCUCUGGGGACUGCAGGAUGAAGCCCAAGUCGGGCAUUUAGGCAAAGUCCUUCCAAAUGGCCUCGACCCAACCUCCCAGUCUCCCGUACCGCUCGCCUCCCCCCACACCUGCACCCCACGUGCAGGCUGACGCCAUCAGGGCACACACUGUCUCUGACCUUGACAGCCUUCCUCUCCCUGCCUCACAAGACACUCCAGCCUUCGAGGCCCAGAUCAAAUAUCGUGCGCUCUGUACAAACAUUGUCCAGUUCUCUGAAGCAGAAUUAACUGCUCCCUGCUCGGAGUUCCCUGGGGGAUCCGUCCCCAGGCCUCCGUGACGGCACCGAUCGUGGCCAGAGGCAGCCUCACCAGCAGGAGCAUAGCUUUCCAGACCGUGUACCAUGCUUCACAUACCUGAUCCGGCCCUUACUGGCAGAUUUAUUUUGGGAAAGCGACUUACCCCCUCUGAGUCUCAGCUUGUUUUAUUUUUAAAUGGGGAUAAUGACGCCUCCCUCAGAGACAGAGCGGUUACGGGGUUGAGAAAUCGUUUACGGACACACAUACACACACACGCGUGCUUCUGUGUGGUAGUUAGGAAAGGGAGGGCUGCCUUGGGUCAAACCCCGGCUCUAGCACUUAGGAGCACGUUCCUUCGUGCCUCAGCUCCCCUCUUCUGUUCGAAAGGAAAAAACCGGUGCUUACGCAUCAGGUUCUUGAGGAGAUUAAAUGAGAUCAUACGGGUUAA